rnacentral:lncRNA from 1 species
CUGACCCUGUCGAUCAUAUCACCAGGCUGCAGCCGCUCAAGAGUCACACGUUUCCACUCGCAAAGCCCGGGAUCGCAUAGUCGCAUUCUCCAUAUACUCCAGUCCAUGUCCAUCUGCGUGAUGACGACGGUCUCAGGGGCAAGGGCGACGGUGGCUCAGAGCAGGCUGCCAGUGGAAGCAACGGCUUCUCCAUCCUGGGCGCCGACGACGGAGAAUCGAUAUGCGCAGCAGGCUUCGCAGGGGUAGGGCCGUGGGGGCUACGGCGGAUCAGCGAGAUGGAGCCUCUGCGUAGAAGGCUUGGCAAGUGCCGGCGGCGUCCACAUCCACGGCGGUGGGGGAGUCACAACAUCUGCGAGGAACAGGAAAAAAGUUUAUUUGAGAAGGCAGAGUGGUGGCCUG